UAGAGUCUGCGAUGUGCGUGAUGUGAAACUUUUGCUUCCUGAUUUUUUCAGAAAGGAGUUCGUCCCUGGAGGGGGUGUGCACGCCUGCCGAUGAGCAGGACGCCUAAACCUUCUACCACAUUACUCCACCUUGCGUGGCCAAGGAAACAAAAGCUUAUCUUUCACACACGGCAUCGCGGGCUUUCU
rnacentral:other from 2 species